CAGCCGCCGCGGGAAUACGAAGGGGGCUAGCGUUGUUCGGAAUUACUGGGCGUAAAGCGCACGUAGGCGGAUAUUUAAGUCAGGGGUGAAAUCCCGCAGCUCAACUGCGGAACUGCCUUUGAUACUGGGUAUCUUGAGUAUGGAAGAGGUUAGUGGAAUUGCGAGUGUAGAGGUGAAAUUCGUAGAUAUUCGCAGGAACACCAGUGGCGAAGGCGGCUAACUGGUCCAUAACUGACGCUGAGGUGCGAAAGCGUGGGGAGCAAACAGGAUUAGAUACCCCGGUAGUCCCUGUCUCUUAUAC
rnacentral:rRNA from 1 species